UGGAAUGUGAAUACCUGUUGCUCUCAGGUGUAACCUCAUUCCAGUCGUGGAGAGAAAAGAUUCCCAGAUUGGAAGCAUGAUAUCUGAGAGCAAAGGAGACGGGGGGAGAAGGUAAAAACAAAUGGAAGCUGGGAGAGUACAGAGAGUACUUGAUUCUUGAAUUUGAAAGAGCUAAAAACAUUAAAAAUAUUUCAGAGCUCUUUUUCUUUCUAUAUUUGAAAAUCUUAGGAAAAAAUGAUUGAUAGUGAGGUUUUGUUGUCAUGAAAUGUACCUCCAACGACACCAGAGAGACAAACAGACAACAAAAAGAAUCAUCUUCUUUCCUAUCCCAAUGUCUGUAUUUAUAAAAUCUUUGCAGUUAAAGUAAUUCCAGAAUUCUCAAAACAGUUUUGUGUAGCAUUUCAUCUGCAUAUGCAAAAUGCUCUAUCAGGGAUUCUUCUUUCUAAUUUCUAUUGCUACUGUGAAAGCAGUAAUAAGUCACAAAAUUAUUGUGUGUCUUUGGAGAGAGAAAUUAAUCUACCCCAUGCUUUGUUAUUUCCCCAUCUGUCAAAGAGGAGGAUACUUGGCCAGACAUGUAAAUAGCACUGAGAUGUUUGGAUCCUGACAUGCUGAGAGCCACGAAGACUUAUACAUUGUUUGUGUCCUCAGCUUUAGAAAAUGAAGAGUAAGAAGCAGCUACGUGCAAAGUCUGGACACAGAAAUAAUAUCCUGACUUGUUCAUAUCUUGACUUCCAAACAGUGAUGGAAAACAGUUGUUGGUAAAAGUUGCAGCGCUCAGUAAGCUUAUCGUGAUUGCACGUUCCUGAGAAGAAGCAGACGUUAUCAGUGCAGAGUGGGAAUGUUGUCUAAAAUAGGUUUUAUCUCCAAGUUUCUCAGAUGAGAGCAUUUGCAAUUCCCCGAAGCAGAAAAUAAAGAGGCGAAUCCAGAGCAGCGGGAAUGAGGUUUCACUGCAAGCAUCAAAACAAAACCUCAACAGAAAUCGAUAUCACUUUGCAAUUUAACAAGAAGCAAAUAUUUUGACUGGAGAAGAAGUAAAUAAAAAGAAAAUAGAUGCAUUCUGAACGUUGGUCUCAAAACUCGUCAUCUCCUACAAACUCCAACCACUGAAGUGAAACCUGUUGGUCACUGUCAUAGUGUGUUUUUCAGAACACAUCUGGCAUUUGUUCUGCUGUGUGAGGAAAGCUAUCAGUGCUUCUUUUCCAGCGUUGCUAUCAACUCACAGACCACGCUUCACAGAACAAACUGUGCCAGCAAAAUGGGCACGAGCCUCCCUGAGGAGAGGAAUUGAAUAAGUAUUGAUAGGGCAUUUUUAAAGGGUGAAUUGAAAUAUUUUAAGCGCAAGGCAUUAUAGUUGAUAUAUGAAAAAGAAAAAAGACACAACUAUGUAAUGUUUGUUCUUCCUAUGGCAAGGCAUGCAAAGUGCCAGGAGGAAUCCAAGGAGAUGUAUUCUGCCCAUUAACUAAACACUUACUAGCAAUAGAGAGCCUGCUAAUGAGACAGGCUCACUUCAGCACUGAAGCAAAUUUGACUGUUGAAUUUAAUAAUGAGGCUAUUAUGUUCCACAAAUUGGCACAUGCGCAUCGUGAGUGUUUUUAAUAUUUCAUUUUUUUGUGUGUCUGCUUCUCAUUAAAAGCAAAGCAAUAAAUUGAAGUGAAUUUGUCUGCAGACUUAAUUUCUUAAUGGGACAGAAAGCUCCGUGUCACUUCCAUGAGAAGACGGCAAAAGUGCUAGCAGAGACCAUGAGAAAGGAUACAUGCAGAAAAACCAGCCUGAACUGUAUUAUACUACAGGUUUUAUUAUAGGCUUGGGACUCACAGCCUUGUUCCCCCAUGAGGGGUUCCCUAAAUGAGAGUCUGCAUGAGUGGUUGGUUGAGGUAUGGAUACGUCUUUGACAGUUGUUUGGAGUAUGAGAAAACCUUUCUGGUCCACACUGAAACAAGUACAAAAGUCCAAACCUUGCACGUCUUUCUGGCUCUACCAUUGAGAGAAUAUGGUUUUGGUCAUCAGAAAUAUUAUGGUUAUGAUUAUAUCACACACUAGAGAAUCUCGUUGCUUCUAUAGUCCAUGAGUUUUCAUUGGAGAACACUUGGAAGCCAAAGGAUCAUCUUCCUACCCUUCUCCUUGGAGAGAGCAGCAACUUCUGGAUCUCAACCUAAAGCAUACAGUAUUUACCAACUGCCUGACUUUACCACGUCGUUGCCGUUACCGCUUUCAAUCCUGCAACAAUUCUCCAGCCUUGUAAAUAUUCGUCAUUAGAGCUCAGGAGCUUUCUAUUUAAUAACACUUCUCUCCUUAUUUAAUAAAGACUGCUCUAUUAAA